rnacentral:misc_RNA from 1 species
GAUGAAGAACGCAGCGAAAUGCGAUAAGUAGUGUGAAUUGCAGAAUUCAGUGAAUCAUCGAAUCUUUGAACGCACAUUGCGCCCGCCAGUAUUCUGGCGGGCAUGCCUGUCUGAGCGUCAUUUCAACCCUCAUGCCCCUAGGGCGUGGUGUUGGGGAUCGGCCAAAGCCCGCGAGGGACGGCCGGCCCCUAAAUCUAGUGGCGGACCCGUCGUGGCCUCCUCUGCGAAGUAGUGAUAUUCCGCAUCGGAGAGCGAUGAGCCCCUGCCGUUAAACCCCCAACUUUCCAAGGUUGACCUCAGAUCAGGUAGGAAUACCCGCUGAACUUAAGCAUAUCAAUAAGCGGAGGA